GAUAGUUGGAAUUGAAUAUUUCCUAGGCCUUUCCACACUACAUGAAUAACUCAAGGCCUUCAAGCCGAUACCGGAGAAGGCAGAGCCGAUCGUGAAGACACUUUGCCUCAUGCAAUGCCUCAUAGCUGUAAAGAGGAGUAUGGAAAUGCAGAUCUUAAUGCGAUGAUCAAUCACUGGAAAUCUUAACAAGAUGGGCUACCCAUCGUUAGUGCUUGCGGAAGUCAAGAUACAGACUUUGUAGAAACUGGAACAGAGCCAAGGGCAGCUAAAUGAUUUGCCAUGCCUAGUGCAAAAUGAAAAUGUGGAACCCUUGUUCAAACAUUAAGAAUUUCAAGAUGGCUACAUUAGAGAAUUAAACAAAGUACAAGGACCUUCUAAGUGGUAUACCCAUGAAGCUGGCUCUGCAGAAAGCCUCUAAGUUCAGGAGUACCACACAGAGGGGAGGGCAGGUAUGAGGCAUGGUACUGAAAGUGAAAUUACAUAAAUAUCUAUACGCUCAAUGGUGAGGUGCCAAUCCUCCACCCUCAAUGACAGCCUACUGUCAUUCAGGCUAUAACUCCCUUGAGAAGUCUGGAGGCCCCACCUACUGAGGAACUGAACUACCUUAGAGAAAGAUACUGGCAUUUGGUAGUUUCCAGCAUAAAUUCUAUCUGGCUGCCCAAAUACACACACUGACAGACCGCCUGGAGAUAAUUUCCAGCCACCUGGAGACAAGCCCCACCCAUAUACACAGAGCUUCUGGAGGCUUUUGGUGUUUCACUAAGAAAGAGUUCCCAGGUACUUGAGGAAAUAAAUAACAACAGCAACACAAAAAGAGCUAUAAACAGAGAAAAAAGAACAGAGAGACAAUAGAGACAAUGCAGGGAGCAGAAUGACAUUUUAGAGAGAAAAUGUUAAUAUUAAAAAUAGUCAUAAUCAAACUAGUGUCAAAUUGCCUUUUGGCAACACUUUUCCCUUCAUACUUUCUCCUGUAACACAGAAGCUGGAAGCUGGGGAGCGUCAUUUCUCAAAAUCUUUGCCAGCCAGCAGGUUCAACGCCAAUGUGAGGCACUUUCAUGAUCCAGAUUCAGAAAGCAGAAGAACAACGAAAGCUGCUCUGGCUACUUCAGGAUUGGAAAGCAAAGAUGUGAUUUUAACAGGCAGCAGGUGUGCAGUGUCGCCAGCAGCUUUCAGGCAUUCUCUUGUGAAAAUUGCUUUGGUGUUGCAGACAUCAAUCAUGCUUUUCUGAGAUUCCUAUAUCUUCCUUAUUUCCUGAAAGGCAGGGGUGGCUUUAUCUAAUCUAUGUUUCAUAGUCUUUCCAUAUUUUUAAGAACCCAUUUCUCUGAAUUAAAUAUGU